AAAAGAUUAGUUAAAAAAUAACAUCAGUAUGUCAAACUGAAAUUAUUAAAUAUUAAUAUCUUUUU
rnacentral:tRNA from 1 species